rnacentral:RNase_P_RNA from 1 species
CAAGUCCAUCGGGCAGCCGCCUUCCUGCAUUCGCCGGGGGGAGGAAAGUCCGAACUCCGCAGGGCAGGGUGCCGGAUAACGUCCGGGCGUCGCAAGGCGACGGAAAGUGCCGCAGAAAAGAUACCGCCCGGCAGUGCCUCGGUACAGCCGGGUAAGGGUGAAAUGGUGCGGUAAGAGCGCACCGGCAGUCCCGGUAACGGGCUGUGCUUGGUAAACCCCACCCGGAGCAAGACCACGUAUAGGCGUCGGUGUAUGUAGCCCGCAUACCGCGCUGCGCAAGCGGAAGGCAGACGCCAGGGUAGGUUGCACGAGCGGGGAAGUGAUUCGCCGCCCAGAUAAAUGGCUGCCGCGCCGCAAGGCGUACAGAAUUCGGCUUAUAGAUGGACUUGCCGU